UACGUAGGGUGCGAGCGUUAAUCGGAAUUACUGGGCGUAAAGUGUGCGCAGGCGGCCGAUCAAGUCGAGUGUGAAAGCCCCGAGCUUAACUUGGGAACUGCGCUCGAAACUACUUGGCUAGAGUGUGGCAGAGGGAGGUGGAAUUCCACGUGUAGCGGUGAAAUGCGUAGAGAUGUGGAGGAACACCGAUGGCGAAGGCAGCCUCCUGGGCCAACACUGACGCUCAUGCACGAAAGCGUGGGGAGCAAACAGG
rnacentral:rRNA from 1 species